GUCAAUGGCCAUAAAACCCUGAACUUGCCAGAUCUCAUCUGAUUUGGGAAGCUAAGCAGGGUCGGGGUCUAGUUAGAACUUGGAUGGGAGACCACCCUGAGAAUACCAAGCGCUGCAGGCU
rnacentral:rRNA from 1 species